rnacentral:rRNA from 1 species
GGGCCCGCACAAGCGGUGGAGUAUGUGGUUUAAUUCGAUGCAACACGAAGAACCUUACCAGGUUUGAAAUCAUUCAAACUCCUUGAAAGAGGAGCCUCCUUCGGGAUGAAAUGACAGGUGGUGCAUGGCUGUCGUCAGCUCGUGUUGUGAAAUGUCGAGUUAAGUCUCGUAACGAGCGCAACCCAUGUCUCUUGUUGCUCACUGAGUGCUUAAGAGAGACUGCCGACCAACAUCGGAGGAAGGUGUGGAUGAUGUCAAGUCAGCAUGCCCCUUACAUCCUGGGCUACACACGUACUACAAUGGUAAGGACAAUGAGCUGCGAUCCUGCGAAGGCUAGCCAA